rnacentral:misc_RNA from 1 species
AGAGUUAAACAGUAUGUGAAAUUGUUGAAAGGGAAACGAUUAAAGUCAGUCGUACUGACGGGGAAUCAACUUCUCGAGUGUGGAUCAGUGGGAUCAAAGUGUCUUUGUUCUUGCGAUAUCUGCAUUCUUUUGGUGCAUUUUCUCGUAUUGUAGGUUAGCAUCAGUUUUGAUUGUUAUAAAAUGAUUGGAGAAAUGUGGCUUCGAUUUCGGUUGAAGUGUUAUAGACUCUGGUAGAUGUAAUGAUCGAGACCGAGGAUUGCAACGAAUACCCUUAAGGGCUAUCCGCCUGGCCUCUGAUUGUUGCUUUGGUGUCGAAAGCUUACUGCUUGCUUUCGCUAUUAAAGUAAGCGGUCAAUAGGUUAGAACGGAUUAAAUUCGUUAAGGAUGCUGACGUAAUGGCUUUAAACGA